rnacentral:lncRNA from 1 species
UGUGAGCCAUGGUGGCUCUCAAGGGCAAAGACUUGGCCUCGUAUCUCUUCUUCUAAGUUGCUUAUAGAGCAGCAGGGGAGAAGGCCACUGUCCCAGCCAAGUAGAUACAGCAGGAACAGGAGGUGCCGAGUCCAAGGCCUGAGCCCUGAGAAUCUGGCUCCACCUCCAUGACUGGAUAUAUCUUCCUUGCGCUCCUACCCUGGAUGAGAUUGUGCGAGUGCCUCCUCUGCCUUGUGCAUCCUCAGCUGUCCCGUCCAACUGAGCAACUGGCAGUGAUGGCAGCAAGCCCUUCCAGCAUCGAGGAAGACAAUGAAAUGUGCAUCAACAAAGAACCGGCACCUGGAAGCCACAGGCAAGGCCAAGACCACCUGAUGAUAGUAGACAUACUGGAUCACGGACCUUGGUCGACGGGUGUUUCCCAGAGGGACCAGAAGGCGGGACCAAAGGCGCACCAGUGGCAGGGGCCCAGGGUGUCUGGAGAACCAGGCCACGGUGAUGCCCAUUCCCAGGAGUGCCCUGGCAGCUUCCAAGGCUGUAAUGACCCCAAUCUGGGGCUGGAUCUGCUGGCAGAGCUUGGCCUGGAUGAGCUCAAUGGACUGGAGAUGGAAAUCAUGAGAAGACAGGUGAGCUCAUGGAGCAUCUGAGGUGGGGUCAGGCUCCCUUCUCUUUCUCCCUGGCACCCCACCUCGGUGCAUGCUCAAAGUCCCUCUGUCAGGGAACCAGUCCUAGGCCAAAGAGCCCCCCCCCCCGCCUGUUCCCGUGUCACUGCUGUCCCCUGCAGCAGCUGGGAGGGGCUGCAGUGACAUUGGGGAGGCCUGGCCUUGGGGCCCGCUGGGCCGUACCAGGGGCAUUUUGGCCCCUAAGGGACAGCCAAGCCCCCUUGUUCUAAUGCCGGACUUCCCCAUCCAUGGGCCUGGGGCACCCGGGAAGAACCCUGCUCCCCAGCCCUGCCUCCGGCCCCUCCACAGCUGCUUGUGAUCACUGAGCGUCUGUGUGCCCUUGAGGAUCGGGAUGCCACCUGGCGCUUUAAGGAGGCGGUAAUCUUCACCAUGAUGGUGUUGGCCUGCGUUGCCAACGUGUGGCUGUGGAUGCGCCAGUGAAGCGAUGGCCCCAAGGGAGAGGACAGGGCAGCCCGCCCACAGUGACACCAGCGGGCCUUCCAACCCAUCCCCUGCUUCGGUUUUGGCUUCCUCUUCCCGUUUGCUUCCAAGCUGUGCACAGGGCUCUGCACAGGCUCAAUAAAAGUUUGGUGACAGCCGUGAAACCUGCCGGUGAGGCUCAUUGCCCACACCUUCCUCACUCUCAUUAUCCCCAGCCCAGGCACAGGGCUCCCUUGUCGGUUUCUCACCAGUGACUGCUCGUGAGGACACGGUGCUGUAGGCUGUG